rnacentral:lncRNA from 1 species
GAGGAACCUUAAUGUUACUGACCUUGGCCACAGGUAUACCAGUCUGUGGCUGAGAUAAAACGUAAUUGAUACGUAAAAAAAAUUAUAAAGACAUUACAACAUUAAAUACAGUUUGAGGAGAAUCCCCUUAACCAAAUUUAUUUCUUACUCCCUUCUGAUCUAUGCAUUACAUAUUUGAACAUAAAUGGAACAUAACACGAGAUUAUAUCAGCUUUAAAAAAUUAACAUUGUAAUAUUUUCCCAUGUUAUCUAUUUCUUCCUAGUUUAUAUUAAUGUUUACAUAACAUUUUACCAACUUGAUGUAAUAUUUAUUAACCAUUACCUUGUUUGCUUAUUGUUUCCAAUUUUCUCUGUUAUAAAAUAAUGAUACAAUGAAUCCCUUUCUACAUAUAAUUCUUUUUUUCUUUGAAAAAAUUGUAUGGAAGUGGGAUUACUAGGUCAAAGUUUGGGCAUAUACUUAACAGCUUUUGAUAGGUUUCAAAAGAAAUGAAUGCCACAGUGCCCCAGGCAAUCAAAUUACUCUCCUUUAUCUUCAGUGUUCUUUUUAGAAUGUUCUUUAUGGUCACCUGUUUUUUCAAAUUGACUCUAGAAUCAUGUUGUCAAGUUUUGUACUUAAAAUACUAUUAGAAUAGGUUGUGUUGACUGAGAUUUAGAGCAAGUAUUUACUGCAGAGAUGCCUCAGAGAGGACUAUCUUUGCAAACUGGAUUUCUUAUGCUACAAACCAAGUAUUUAUCCUGUUCCCCAAACGCUGUGAGCAGAAUUGCUUGGAAGGAAGCAAUCAUCAUUAAUGGACUGCAAUUCCCUAAAUUCACAUUACUUUGGCUGAACUUUGAGUCAACAAGCAAUUCAAACUAAAGAUGGUUGGUAUUUGCCAAUACAGACCUGUUUAACCUCUAGUUUAAUAGAAACUCCAAUUGGGAGAUUUUCUUUUUCUUUUCCUCUAUACCAAGCAGUGAUGGGAGAUUUACCUGGUGAGUUUGUAAAGUACUGCAGGCUGUUUCUUCACAGCUCUGGAAGGGAGGAGACAGCAAUGAAGAGUCUCAUGUCUUUCAAGAUGGAGUAAGUAACUGGCUUCACAUCUUUACCUGAGGUAUAAGUUGAUCAAGGACUUGGUCUUGAGAUGCCAAGACUCAAUCUUCUUCUCUAUAUUCUUCAGUCUUCUAAGCAGCAGAUUCGGAUCUCAUCAAAACUAGCAAGACUUUAUUGGGAGACAUGGUCUUGACACUUACCCCACCCUUUGGAGUCUAUUUGAGAACUGAAUGAGGAAGAACAUUUUCCUUGACUUCCAGGUGCUUUUGUAUUCAUCUCUAAAAGAAAACAGAAUUCUGAGCUCAGGACUUGGCAAGCAUUCCUUUGUUGUCUCCUGGAGUGAGUAAUCCUGCUUCUUGUAGGCAGCCACCUUCCCUCUUGAAAGGUGGAUAUCUCUUCUCUACACUUCACCUCCAUGGCUGGGAUUGGAAAGGCCGCUUUUCUUUUUGUUCCAUCUCUGAGUCACCACAGAGAAGCUCCUAGGAUGCAGUCAUCCUGCCAACUUCUCCAGGAAGAAAGAAGCAACUGACAUGCAUCUUCUGCUGCUAUUUGCCUAAUUGUAAAGAAAUUAUUUUACAAGCCGAAGGCUGAUGUUUAAUUUGAAACAGGUGCUUAGAUGGUGGUAUUUAUGAAUUCUUUAUCUUUUGUUCGAAACAAGAAGACGAAAUAAAUAGCAAGUAUGGAUGACAUCAGGGUUUUUUUUUGAAAUGUCUUCCAGUUUCAGCCACUGUCAUGAUAAGCACAGUUGAGACAGCAGCAGUAAAUUCCAAAUAUAUAUUCUAAUUUGAAAUGAAAGAGAUGCUAAACAAUUACACAUAUACCUAAAUCCUGGCUUGUCCUGUGACAUAGAUGUACUGGAUAAGAACAAAGGUCCAAUUUUGCAAUAAAACCUUUGAUGUGAUAAAGAAGCAUAAAGACAAGAUAUCACAAAGUUAAUUUAUAUGUGAAUAAACCACCAUAGACCCUGUAUAAAUACACAUUAUUGCAUGUGUAAAUCCACAUUUUUGGAUGAGAAGAGGGGAUUUUCUCCUAGAGAAGGAAGCUGUUGUUGACUUCUUUCUCAGAAGUCUUUGGACAUUUGGUAUUUUUAAAUGUUUUUUCAUUCUUCUGAGAAAGGACCACGUGCAGAUGCUAAUGCUAUGAAUGCAUGCUUGGGUUUAGUGAAAGAUUGGUGAAAGGAAACAACAGUUUUGAGUCCAGUGAUGGAACCCUGUUUAUCUCCCUAGGAUGAGAGGCUGCUGUAUUACAAAUUACUUCAUUCUUUUUUGUGGAGUCUUAUAUAGCACUUGAGACUUGGUUUUCCAUCCUCCUAAGGCUGGGGAAAAAAAUGGCAUAAGUAUUUUUUCUGUUCAGAAGAUGUGGUGGACCCUACAAUAUGAAAUGCCUUCAACUUUGAACAUGGAGGAAUGGAGGGGAAAAAUGAGAAAAGUUUCCAUAUAACUCUUUUUUCCUAAGAAAAAGAAGCAAAAAUACCUUAUGCUGCUCCAUCUGACUUUAUGGUAUUUUACAUUCUAUAGCUCUGUUUUUUGGAAAAGCAUAAAUAAUUUUUCCUUUGACCCAAGAUGGGUACUUGGAUGUUUGAUUAAUUUUUCUAGAUAAUAGGUGUAAUGUUAGGCUGAAAAGGCUGGGACUCAGGUAACUUUCCCCACUUGUAACUGAGCUUUCUCAUCAGAGAAUGGGCCUCAGAAGCAAUGUUCCCAAAGGUGUGGUUGGGUCAGUGUAGAUUUAGAAGAAAUUCAGGGUCUCAAAAACACCUCAAAUAAGAAAAAUAUUCCAAUAAGAAAUGUGGAUCUUCCUUUCCCUUAUAACUUAAUGCUGUGAUGAACAGACUAUAGUAUAAAGCUGCCCUUGCUUCCAUAUCAACAGAGAAUGAGUGUAUGAAUUAGCAGGUCUUUACAUAAGAAGAAUGAAACCUUUAUGAGUCUUUGUGAGUAGAGAAAGAAUUUAAAACUUCUUAGAUGAAAUUAAGAACAAAUCAUCUUAGACCAUCUCUCUGAUUUAGGGGAUGUUUGCCCAAGGCAAUAUAAGCUGUGAUGCCGAAAAUAGGGUAGAUUUAACAAAAUUUGAGUGUGAUAGAAAUGGCCGAAAAUGAGAAAUGUUGAACACUCUUAAUAAGUUAAAUUGGUUAGCCAAUUUGAAUUGGCAUAAGAAAGCUUUUCAGUCAAAUAAUUACAUCAUAGAGAUAAAAUAUAAUGUCCUUUAAUUGAGGGCAAUUACUGAGUGGUAAAGCAUAGUAGGUAGCUUUGGGUAAAGGUAACUUAAAUUUUUCUCUAAGUAACUUCGCAGCCACUUCCUUAAGUUUUCUUUUGGUAUUUUGGAAUUGUUAAAAAUAGAAUGGAACCUAUGUUCACGAAUCCCAUUGGUAUGUUGAGAAUAUCAUACCAUGGAGAAUUUCUGUCUUCAGUUGUCUGUUACCCAUCUUCCCCAUGUCCCUUUGGCAACCUUUGGGGUAGGAUCAUUUGGCAGGGAAUAGCAACCCUGUAAUAUCAGCACCAGUGAAACCAUCUCUGGCUCACUUGUUUGAAUAUAUCCCAGACUCAGCUUCUCUAGUUGCUUUAUAUUUUUUCAUUUCACAGCUCUCUUCAAGUUGUCCCUGCAUCUUCCAUGGUUGUCACCAGUUGGCAUUUAACAAAAUAGGUAUAUUCCAGUUGUGCUUGCCUAGUGUUUACUUAAUACAUCAACAUUUUUACCUGGUCUGUUUUGGUCACCUUCUUGAUGGCGAAAGCUAUUAAUUUUAGGCAGAACUAUGCCUUGAUCUGUAGCUGUGCCUACUUGCUUUCCUUUGUUCAUCCAUGUUAGCUGGCAGUUUUUCUUUUAAAAAGUUAAACAAAAAAGGGAUAUGUGCAAUAGAAAUAUAUAUAUAUGUAUAUUUUAAUACUUGUGGACAAAUGUUACAAGUUGUUUAAGAACAACAAAAUCACCAAUGUCUUCCAUUUUGAGAUGUGUAUAGUUUUGUAAGCAUUAGUGCUUGGUAGCAUAUUGUAGUGCCAUGUUAGGGGUUAGUGCAUGAGCCUAGUAAUAAUUUAAACUUUGGGUUGAAUUAAUAAUAACCAAUAGUGUAAAAAGAGUGGAAAAUCUAGACCUUUUCUUUUUUCAUAAAUACCUGAAUCUGUGAUACUCUCCCUGGGGAAAGGAGAUUAAGGCCAAAAAGACUCACUUAGGAAUAGAAAUGUGGGGUCACAGUGUGAAAUACUGUGUUUGAGGAUAUUUACGCUUUCCAUGAGGUAGCUGGAAACCAGCUGUCUGUGUCUUAUGAAACCUCAAAUCAAAAUGAGGCCCCAUUUCAUGAUUCUGCUUUGCUCUCUUAGUUUGAGGUGAGAUUGUUCUUAUGCGCUUUUCACAUUGUGUAUCUUCUAAGUUUAUUAUUUUCCCAUUCCUUUUGCAUCAAGAAAUUAUUUUAAAUUUUUUAUAUUUUGCAUGUCCGCCUGAGAUGCUAUGUUAAUUGCUUAAGUGAGUGCUUUUCUGACCUGCAGACCAUUUACAUUUCCUGUCUGCAGCAUGCUGUGUGUUAACAGAACACUGGUCAGUAGUUCAGAGAAUCCGAGAUUAAUUUGCAUGGGCUUUUCCUACUUCCAAAUCUGCUGAAAUGUGUGUUGAUGGGAUUCCAGACCUUUUCAUGAGAUUUGUAAAUGUAGCUAGAUGGAGCCUACCUAGGUUGCCCUGUAAUACUAACUCUUUUGCUUGGUUAUAGUAAGCUGCCUCAGACAGCUUUCACUUUUUUCCGCUUUCCUUGUAGAAAUAAAAGUUUUUCUGAAAGCAUAAGAUAGCUUUCUGUAGAAAAGAAAUUCCUACCUCUAAAAGCGGCCUUGAGAACUUGGAAAUGGCAGUUUUCUGAGGUAAUUUUUAAAUCUCAGUAUUAGGAGAAUCCAGGAUUUAUUGACACAGAUUCUACAGUUAGCAUGAUAGGAACUGCAAAACUGUUUGAAUGUGGUGUGUCUUGUGUGCAGAAGCAACCUUAAACAAACAGACUCUCCAGGGACCCGGGUUUAGAUUCUCAUAGCGUACUUAAAGUAGUUUUACUAUUGGCUCAAGUAGUUUAGUGCCUGGGAGAAUCCAUUUCUGAAAAGCAUUUAAACAUUUUUUAAAAUACCUCUGAAAAGGUAAUGAAUGCAAAAUAGCACACUUAUAUAGGAAAGAAUAUUUCCUGUUGCAAAAAAAAAAGCCAUACAACGAACUAAUAAUUUUCAAGAGGUAGAAUUUUCGUAGCAAUAAGUUUUGCAUGUCUAGUAAGUUGCAUUAGCAAGGUUGUACAGUAGAGUAAGUAUUACUACUUGAGUUUGUUAGCUCUGUGAUCAACAGAGUUGCACAAAAGGAAAAAGAUGUUCUAGGUAAAGAGCAUAUAAAAGGUACUUUUAAAACUCUGAAUGUAUAUGAAAAUAUCUUUGUGUGAGAAAUAGCGACUUGUGUAAGUUAAGGACCCUAUUUGUUUCCUAGAGCAGAGCAUUAGAGCCCUUGAAUGAAACUCCUAGUGCUUAACCUGGAAACAAAUGUACUCCUAACUGAUGGAGCCCCACUGAAGCCAUUGGGUGGGGGUUUUGCUUUAGCAACAGGCAUUUAUUAAAUGGCAUCCUUUUUGCUUUGUCACCUCAUCUUUCUCCAUCCAUUUCCUGGGUGCAUUUUAAAAAAGGAAAAGUUUGGUGUGAGUGUAUAUUUAAGGUUAAAAAAAAUAAUACAAACCAAGAACUUAGAUAGUUGGCUUUUGCUCAUGCCUAUGGUUGGUUUAGGGGAGUUAGGAUUUAAAGGUGUAAAGCAAAAGGAUUGAAGGGAAUACCCAAAGACAGUAUGUUGGUUUUUUAAGCCUUGUCUAAUGUAGAUGUGCCGAGGCCUAUGGCCUGUGACUGCUUAUUUUAACAAGAACCCAUCAAACUAGUUUCUUGAUCUGAGGAAUCACACAGCUCAUAUCAGGAUAUAAUAGUGGAACGAGGGUGAUUUCUUACUCCCUUUUACCUCAUGUUCAUCUUGGCCAUUUAGCACCUUGAAGAACCCUGAAAAGAUUGGUGGGUCUAUGUUUCCUUGUUUUCCCAGGGAAAAAAACUAAAAGUGGAGCAGAUCUAAGAAAACAGUGCCUCUUGAAUAUUUAAUUCUUUAUAUGGCAACUCCAAAGGAUAGAGAGAAGGCUAUAUUAAAUUGAUUAUAGCUCCUGUUUAAAUGUCCUACACUACACCAUCUGUUGGUGUUAGAGACAUUGGAAUAACCAAGCAAUAUUCAGACAUCUGCACAAUCAUGAGGACAAUGCUGCAUAUUACAGUGAUGUCAACAUUUUAGUUACUUAGAACAAUUAAAGAUUACCCUUAACAGCCACGUUAAUAGUUCUAAAUGCUAACAUGUGCUACAAGUUUCUGUAGUCUCACAGUAUGCAGUUAAUUACUUUUCAGUGCUUUUGUAGUCUCAUGUUUACUCUGUGUACCUGUGAUAUGCAAAAUAUGAAGAGACCCUUGGCCUCCAGGAGUUUACAUUCUCAUGGUGCUGCUGGUGCAAGCAAAUUGCUUCUAGUUUAUUCAGAACAUUGCUUGGCUAUUAAUUAGACCAUACUUGGAAGGAUCCCUUGGCCAACAGUUUUCAAAAGCAGAGGGCUAUGCUAAAUUUCAGGGCAUUGAUUUUGAGUUUACAUUGUAUUAGCUCUGCUGUUCAUAAACUCCUUUUCCCCAGGGAGCUGUGCAGGUAAUGCUCAAUAAUGUAGAUCAGAAGAGGAACCAUUCUGCCUAAGAGCAUCUUCACCAUCCCUACACCACCUAUGCUCUUCUGUGCUAUAGCUGUCAAUACACGGCCAAGAAAACUGAGUGCUCCAGAAGAAUGUACAUCUCUCACUUCUUUCUUUUCUCAGAGUGUUUUACAUCAUUCUCUACCCAAAGGGACCAGGAUUUGCAGUUAAGCCUUUUAUAACUGAAUAGUGGUCCUAAUACUAACCUUCUUGUGUGGGACUUUUGUACCUCUUCUGAAGCAGGAUUGUGAUAGAUGUGGAGCACCUGCCUACAUUUCUAAGCAAUCACUUUAUUAACCCACAUUUUUGGUUGAAACUGCAUGUAUCUUUGGUAUUUCCCCUAAUUCCUCUGAAUCAAGGGGUUUACCCUGCAUGUUUAUUAAAAGUGGGUCUGGAUGAAAGUGCAAGCAAUAGUGGCAGGCCCAUAACUGCAGUCUUAAGAGUACUAAUAUCCUAAUGCAUGGUUGAAAAUGUCCAGUGUUAUGUGGUUACUAGUAUUUAUAUAUAUGCAUUUAUUAAUAAUGAAGCAAUAGAGAUGUAAACCGAUAGUUUGUAUUUAUUGUUUGGAUUAUUAGUUUUCAUUUUCUAAUUAAAAAUUAUCUUACUUCCAUUUAAAAUGGGAGCUAGAAGAUAAACAGGGGCAACCACAAGACAUUCAAACUGUCAGGAAUAGAGCAUAAUAGUGCUCACCCUCUAACCUCUUGCCUGGUUCCCUUAGUCCCUAAGCAUGUUUAAAAGCAAAAGGCACAAACUAAGCAUGUUGAAUGAAUAAAUAAGCUGCUAUGGCUGUAAUAAUCAGAAAGGUGCAGAGUUUCAGAAAGGAUAGGAAAGUAGGGAAUCCCAGUGUGGCGCAUGUGAAAUAACUAGGUAUGAGGCUUGACAGAUAAAGUGUGCGUGGUUUGGUUUGGAUCUCUUAAAAACUAGUAUCUUGGAAGUGAAUAGAGGCAAUAUGCAUAUUUCAGAUGUUCUAACAUUUUCAGAUAACUAGGCACCUCUUCUGGAUGGUUCUGGUAUUGAUCAACCAUGCAGGAUCCCUGGAGCAAAGGAGACAGUUCCAUUGUCUGGAAAUAGUCCUGAAAACAUUGACAUGUCAUCUGUGGUUUGGUUUCUCUUUUGUUACUGUAUUAAUUUUUUUGUUUUUUAUCUUUUUUUGGUAGCCAGAGUUUUAUCAAUGAUGUUUUGGUCAGACUGCAUAAUUUGUUGCCUAAAGCUUUUUGAUGCCAGGUAAACAAGAGCAAGAUUUCCAAUUCUGAAAAAAGAAAACCCUUGCCAUUUAUUUUCUUAGUUGAUGAAGAAAAUAGAUCCGUUUAUUGUGGUAGCUUAAGACUUUUGAGAAGAUUCUUGACUUCGAAAUAGCCCUUAUAAGUAAAAGUGAUCAUGACAAAUAAUAUGCAAACAGAAUUCAUUAUAUCUGAAAUAGGCCUAAGUAGAAUUCAGGAUUAGACUAGAUGAUUUUCACUAGGCCCCUUCCAGGUUUCAUGUUCUACGAUUGAAAAAUAUUUUUUCUAAAAUUAUGUUAACCUCAUUUUCUUUGCUGUGCGAUUUUACUCCAGAUACCUUUGGGAAUGUUUAAAGGGAAUGGUAACUUUCCAGUAGUUCCAAAUUGAACUGGCAAUUUUCAGGUUUUGUCUCCCUUAGUGAUGGUAUGGCAUGCCAUCAGUUAAAAUGUGUUUUUCUCCCAGGGAUAAGAAAGGUAUUCUGACAAUACAUUAUCAUCAGUCCUUCAACAGCAGUCAGUCUUGGCACGUACUUAAAACCACCUAUCCCUUGUAAUUAAAGAUUCACAUUAGAGUACCUUUCACAUAGUUUUAUUUACUGUCCUAUAAGUAGAGUUGUUGCUCACUGUUUUUACUUGCUAUUCUGCAUCUUCUCCAUUGCACCACUGGUAUAUAAGAUGUUAAAGGAAUUUCAUGAAAUGUUUAAAGUAUUACAAAAGGCAGCUUGCUUUUUAAUCUAUGCAUCUUUGGGGUUUUAGAAGAAAUUUUCUUCUUUGAUGUAAAAAAGGAACUGCUGUAAGAGUUGAAACUCUGCACCUGUGUAUAUAUAUUUUUUGGCAAUAAAGCAGCAUGGGCUGAGAAUGCACUGAAAUUUCA